UGAAAUAAUGACACAGACUGGCUACACGAUCUCAUCUGCCGCAGAUACUGUAUCAGGAGGACAGCGCGUUUGUUUGAGGCACUUUUCACUUCAACUGUGUCUGACGGGAGAAUUAGCUUUUCUGAGCUUACUAGCCGUUGAGAGUUGCCAUGGCAACCGCGGACACAUCAGCUGCUGGAGAGAAGAGGACGCGUCUGACACUUUCUCUGUUUCUCGUCAGUGAUACCAAAGAAAAGUUCAACAACUGCGACAGACUGUUUGUUUAUUUCUAAUAAGGAGCUGGAGGCCGUGGAGAAGCAGAUCCGUGACCUCGUGGAGAAGCAGGCUCAGCUGAGAGAGCGGAGAGCCGUGCUGGAAACAUUCAGGGGUUGAUGCUCACAAGUCUGGGGUAAGUAUACAG